rnacentral:misc_RNA from 1 species
UUAAUAUGUCAUACAGUAUGAUCUUCGUUAUUUUCUUGUUCUCAUAGUUAUUAUGCCAACGAUUUGUAGAGCCUAGGAACUAGGUGCAGUGUGUCAUUGAGAGAGGUCAAGCAGGGAAAAAAAAAGGAGCUAGAAAAUUCAAAUUGAUGUUAGACAUUCUUGAGAAAUUCUAAAUAUCAAUAUGAUAACAAGCAUUGUCUAAAAUCCAACUAAAGAUGACAUAAAAGAAUACUAAUUGUUCAUAAUUAGCAUCAUGACAAUCAAAAGUCUAAAGAACAUUUCACUUUGUUGAAAUAUAUCUGAAAUCUUUAUUCCAAAUCUACUAAUCCAAGUGCAAGGCUUGAUUUUGUAAAACAGAUAAAAAUAUUCG